AUGGAUGCCGCAAGGACCAUGAUGGCGGAGUUCAAGUCUCCAUACAACUUUUGGGCCGAAGCCAUCAACACCGCGUAUCAUGCAUCCAAUCAGCUCUACCUCCGCAAGGGCUUGAACAAGACUCCGUAUGAGAUACUCACCGGUAACAAGCCCAACCUCAAGUACUUUCGGGUGUUCGGGUGUAAGUGUUUCAUUCUCAAGAAAGGUGUUCGAUUGUCUAAAUUUCAGGCUAGAGCAUAUGAGGGCAUAUUUUUUGGUUAUGCUACAAACUCUCAUGCUUACCUUGUCCUCAAUAAAUCCACGGGACUUAUUGAGGAGACGUGUAACAUGGAGUUUGAUGAGAAUAACGGCUCCCAAGUGGAGCAAAGUGGCACUUGUGAUGUAGGUGAUGAAAUUCCUCCUCAAGCCAUAAGAAGAAUGGGUGUUGGUUUUAUCCUACCCAUUGAGGAACCCCUUGUGGCCAAAGGAGAAGGACAAUGCUCCACUCAAGUGGAGCCAUCACCAACCCAAGGCCCACACGCUUCCGAAGAACAAAGUGAAGGCCCUCAACCUCAUGAACAAGACCAAGGGCAAAAUCAUGAUCAAGACGGUGGAGACACACCAAGUGAUGCCCAAGGUCAAGUUCUCUCCUCCGAGCAAGUUCAAGAUCAAGAACAAGCUCAAGACGGCGCUCAAGAUGAUCAAGUGACCGCUCCUCAACUCACCUCCGAGGAGGAAUUGGAGCGUCGUGCCGCCAAGAUUGCUUCCAAGCUCUCCACCAAGGGUCAUCUCAUGAAGAAUGUACUUGGAAGCAUUCAAAAGGGGGUAAGCACUCGUAGACAAUUGGCAAACUAUUGUGAACGUCACGCGUUUGUCUCUUGUGUGGAACCCCAAAAGGUAUACGAAGCUCUCGAAGAUCCGGAUUGGCUCAAUGCCAUGCAUGAAGAACUCAACAACUUCGAGUACAACAAGGUGUGGAGAUUAGUGCCAAGGCCAACGGGGAACCACAAUGUCAUUGGAACGAAGUGGAUAUUCAAGAACAAGCAAGAUGCUCAUGGGACCAUCAUCCGCAACAAGGCACGAUUGGUGGCACAAUGUUGGAAAUAUGCCCUAGAGGCAAUAAUAAAUAGGUUAUUAUUAUAUUUCCUUGUUCAUGAUAAUCGUUUAUUAUCCAUGCUAGAAUUGUAUUGA
rnacentral:rRNA from 1 species